rnacentral:rRNA from 1 species
AUACGUAGGUGGCAAGCGUUGUCCGGAUUUACUGGGUGUAAAGGGCGUGUAGGCGGAGAUGCAAGUCAGGAGUGAAAUCUAGGGGCUCAACCCCUAAACUGCUUUUGAAACUGUAUCCCUUGAGUAUCGGAGAGGCAGGCGGAAUUCCUAGUGUAGCGGUGAAAUGCGGAGAUAUUAGGAGGAACACCAGUGGCGAAGGCGGCCUGCUGGACGACAACUGACGCUGAGGCGCGAAAGCGUGGGGAGCAAGCAGGAUUAGAUACCCUGGUAGUCCACGCUGUAAACGAUGAAUACUAGGUGUGGGGGGACUGACCCCCUCCGUGCCGCAGUUAACACAAUAAGUAUUCCGCCUGGGGAGUACGGCCGCAAGGUUGAAACUCAAAUGAAUUGACGGGG